UACAGAGGCCACAAGCGUUAAUCGGAAUCACUGGGCUUAAAGGGUGCGUAGGCGGCGCCGCAAGUGCUUUGUGAAAUCCCGCAGCUUAACUGCGGAAUUGCUCGGCAUACUGCGGCGCUUGAGGUCGGUAGAGGUCGUCGGAACAGUAGGUGGAGCGGUGAAAUGCGUAGAUAUCUACUGGAACGCCAAAGGUGAAGACAGGCGACUGGGCCGAUUCUGACGCUGAGGCACGAAAGCGUGGGUAGCGAACGGG
rnacentral:rRNA from 1 species